rnacentral:lncRNA from 1 species
GGCGGGUGAUGCGCCGGCCUGUCUGCUCAGAGUGAUCCGCGACGCCAUCCAAUACAUGAUCGGCGAACUCGGAGCAUGAAUUAGUCCGGCCUCGAGCUUCGAGUUUUCGACUGAUCGAUCGAGUAGAAGAUUAAGUGAAUUUUGUACGUAUAUUUGUACGCAUAAGCUGCCGAAGAAAGGCAGAUACGUACGUACGUACGUACGUACGUACCGGCUAUGUAUGGUCGUAUCGAUCGUAUUGUUAGUGUAGUGUACAUGUCAAUUGUAUAUUCAUAUUAGUCCCUCGUCCAUUCGAAAAUAAAAACAUUUCUAAUUUAUUUACCAAAAAUUAGGAGAAAAUACCAUGUUACUUCUCAAUAAAUGCUCAAUAAAUAAUAAAUGAAUUGAAG